AGAGUUUGAUCCUGGCUCAGGAUAAACGCUGGCGGCGCACAUAAGACAUGCAAGUCGAACGGACUUAACCAUUUGUUUACAUUUGGGGCGGUUAGUGGCGGACUGGUGAGUAACACGUAAGCAACCUGCCUAUUAGAGGGGAAUAACAGCGAGAAAUCGUUGCUAAUACCGCAUAUGCCAUAGUUACCACAUGGUAACAGUGGGAAAGGAGUAAUCCGCUAAUAGAUGGGCUUGCGUCUGAUUAGAUAGUUGGUGGGGUAACGGCCUACCAAGUCGACGAUCAGUAGCCGGACUGAGAGGUUCAACGGCCACAUUGGGACUGAGAUACGGCCCAGACUCCUACGGGAGGCAGCAGUCGGGAAUAUUGCGCAAUGGAGGAAACUCUGACGCAGUGACGCCGCGUAUAGGAAGAAGGUUUUCGGAUUGUAAACUAUUGUCUACAGGGAAGAAUUUUGACUGUACCUGUAAAGAAAGCUCCGGCUAACUACGUGCCAGCAGCCGCGGUAAUACGUAGGGAGCAAGCGUUAUCCGGAUUUAUUGGGUGUAAAGGGUGCGUAGACGGGAAAUUAAGUUAGUUGUGAAAUCCCUCGGCUCAACUGAGGAACUGCAACUAAAACUGGUUUUCUUGAGUGCAGGAGAGGAAAGUGGAAUUCCUAGUGUAGCGGUGAAAUGCGUAGAUAUUAGGAGGAACACCAGUGGCGAAGGCGACUUUCUGGACUGUAACUGACGUUGAGGCACGAAAGUGUGGGGAGCAAACAGGAUUAGAUACCCUGGUAGUCCACACUGUAAACGAUGGAUACUAGGUGUAGGAGGUAUUAAUCCUUCUGUGCCGUCGCUAACGCAGUAAGUAUCCCACCUGGGGAGUACGACCGCAAGGUUGAAACUCAAAGGAAUUGACGGGGGCCCGCACAAGCAGUGGAGUAUGUGGUUUAAUUCGACGCAACGCGAAGAACCUUACCAGAGCUUGACAUCCACGGAAGGCCGAGUAAUGUUGGCCGUGCCCUUCGGGGAGCCGUGAGACAGGUGGUGCAUGGUUGUCGUCAGCUCGUGUCGUGAGAUGUUGGGUUAAGUCCCGCAACGAGCGCAACCCCUAUCCUUAGUAGCCAGCGGCCAGGCCGGGCACUCUAGGGAGACUGCCGGGGAUAACCCGGAGGAAGGUGGGGAUGACGUCAAAUCAUCAUGCCCCUUAUGAUUUGGGCUACACACGUGCUACAAUGGCGUAAACAAAGGGAAGCAAUCACGUGAGUGCGAGCAAAUCUCAAAAAUAACGUCUCAGUUCGGAUUGUAGUCUGCAACUCGACUACAUGAAGCUGGAAUCGCUAGUAAUCGCGAAUCAGAAUGUCGCGGUGAAUACGUUCCCGGGUCUUGUACUCACCGCCCGU
rnacentral:rRNA from 1 species